UGUGAUGCCCUUAGUAAUGGCGAAUGAAACGGGCAAAGUCCAGCAUCGAACUGCUGACUGUAUAGUCAUGCGGAAUGUGAUGUGUGAGAUGGCCGUAUCGCUUGGAGACGACUAGUUCAAGUGCACCUUGACUGGGACCAUUGCCCAUAGAGGGUGAUAGGCCCGUACGGCAGUCGUUUCCUUGUGCUGGCUUCUUCUCUAGAGUCGAGUUGCUUGGGAGUGCAGCUCAAAGCGCGAGGUAAACUCCUCGUAAGACUAAAUAUCACCCCAAAGCCGAUAGCAAACAAGUACCGUGAGGGAAAGUUGAAAAGGACUUUGAAGAGAGAGUUCAAGAGUACGUGAAUCUGCAUAGUGGUAAACAGAGGCGUUCUCGAAGUUUGGAAGUGAGAUUCAGGCAGUUGAUUCACGUCAACUGCUGUUCUUCUCACUUCUUGAACACAACGAGUCGUUCGAGCUAAAGAUGGUUUGGGCUGUGAAACAAGUUUGCUGUCUGCUUGCAGUCGGCAAGGUUCGCAUGCUCAGUUUUGGCUCUUGCGGCUUGACAGACCUUACGGUUGUCUGAUGUUGUGAGUAGAUCGGCGGCGUCUCUGACCCGUCUUGAAACACGGACCAAGGAGUCCAACAUGUGUGCAAGUCGCAGGAUUUGCUAAAUCCUCGGGCAUAGUGAAAGCAAUGAAUUCAAGGGUGAUCAUCUCUCCUUGUGGGUGGUGCGCAACCCUGGCGUUUUACAUCGACCUCGUUCGUGUAGAACAGCAAGAGCAUACAUGUUGGGA
rnacentral:rRNA from 1 species